rnacentral:rRNA from 1 species
GCCUACGGGACGCAGCAGUGAGGAAUAUUGGUCAAUGGGCGGAAGCCUGAACCAGCCAAGUCGCGUGAGGGAAUAAGGCCCUACGGGUCGUAAACCUCUUUUGCCGGGGAGCAAGGGCGGGGACGUGUCCCGGCCCGGAGAGUACCCGGAGAAAAAGCAUCGGCUAACUCCGUGCCAGCAGCCGCGGUAAUACGGAGGAUGCGAGCGUUAUCCGGAUUUAUUGGGUUUAAAGGGUGCGUAGGCGGGAUGCCAAGUCAGCGGUAAAAAUGCGGUGCUCAACGCCGUCGGGCCGUUGAAACUG